CGUUUAUUUUACCUGACACCCUUGUGAUUCCUGUCAGGCCUGUGUCUCUUCUAUUACUACAGAAUGUCCACUCUCUAGGAGAGUCUGAAUGUGGGAGGAGCUCAGAUCUGUGAGACCAUCAUGACCUGACUGGAAAUAACUCCUGAGAGCAGUCACAUCAAUUCAGAAGGGGAUCUCUCCUUGGCUCAGUCUUCAGUACCUACUGUAACCUUGGCCAGGAUCUGCGGGAGGAUUCCUGACACAGCAAGGCUUCUUCGCAAAUUACAUUCGAUGCCGCCCCUCCACCAGCACUCUGAAGCCUUGGG